CGGUGCGCUCCCAAUCUUUCCGCGUCUUUUUUAGAUCCUCUCUCUCUCGCUCCCUUCCUUUCCAUCUCCGCCUCUCUUUUCGCCCUCUCGUCUUUCUUCUUCCAUCCAUCACACCGAUGCCCCUUCUUUCUCGCAGCAGCGCCGGUCUCGGUUUCAAUGACUCCGCCUCUCUCUCCCAGCCCUGCAGCCACAGCACUCGAAACCCACUCUCUGCUCCCGGUAAACUUAUUUUUCUUUGUGUUCUGGGAUUCUUCUUGUCUGAAUCGUUUUCUUCGAUUGCUUCUUGAUUAGGGUUUCGAGGCCGAAGGACUAACUCGAAGAUUUCCUUUCGAGAUCUGUCUUCCAUUGUGUUGGUUGUUCUUGUUCUCGACAAGAAAUAUGAGAAUACAAGGCAAGAUUGCUUAUGGUAAUACUGAUGGGCUGUGUUCGCUACUGUUUCUCAUGACAUCGCCCAAGUUUGCACGGUGUUUCAAGGCAAACUGUUCCACGUACAGAAAAUCUUGCUUCAUGAAGUGGCUUUGCAAGAUUUUCAAGGGGGCAAGUCAUGCAGCACGGAAUGGAUGGUGUCCACAAAUUGUGAGGGAGCCAGCUAAUGGAUUCACAUUCUUUGCCUUUACUUCGGAGUUUCUAUUUAGACUGUCCCAAGGAUGUUCAACCUAAGGCUGAGAAUGAGGAAUUGGAUCAUGCAAUUGCACUUUCGUUUGCAGAGGAUGCCAAGAAACGGAAUGAUAAGUUCUUACACACCCCCCACCCCCCCAAAAAAAAUAAAGAAAAAAAAGGAAUGGUAAGUUAGAUUGUUUGGUAUUUAAAUCGUGAGCUCGCCUAACAUCACUCUUCUCCUCAUAAAACUAUUUGUAUUAAUUCAGCUUUCUCUUUCGCUAUCAAAGAUAUAACUUGCAUUUCAGAAUCGAUAUAACAAACUGUGUACAAUGGAAUGGGAAAUAAUGAUGAAGAACUUGCUAGAGCCCUGCAAGAGAGUUUGAACAUGUCUUCCUUCAUCCGUACACCCCUAUCCAGUGUUUUAACAGGAUAUAGGUUCUUAUCUGCAGUUCGUAGUUCAUGCAAUAUCUUGCUAAAAGGCAUUCAAAGUUACACCAUGGCUUCAAAACCAGCAGAGUUUGUUGAGGUUGUAACCGGGAGAUAGGGUGUGGCCAUUAAAACUGCAGAACCUUCUGGUACCCAUAAUGCUGUUACUGUCAUGCUUGUGGUCAGCCUAUCUGUGAAACUGAGUGAUCCAUUUUUUAUGAUUAAAGAAAUUUUGUUUAAUCUUUGUUUCAUUUUUGAAGAAGAAAAGAAAUUCUACUGGCAAAGUGCCUAUCUUCGAGUAUUUUAGAGUUCAGGAUAUUUUAAAUGUAGCAAUUGUUUCAGUUUUCUUUGUCAUUACACAAGCCAUUCUAUACGGAGUUGCAUCAUCCAAAAUUUGAUGUCUGCCAUAACUUUGUAAGAACCUAUGCUUCUUGUAUAUUUGCAAAUAAUCAUUUAUUAUUAGAUAAUUUCGUUAGUGCUAGUAUCUUGUUCCCUAUGCUUGAAUCAACUGGGCAUAAUUGAAACCAAAAUUUAUCAUUGAAGUAGUGUAUCUAGCAUCAAUCUUGCUACUUAAUAAAUAUUAUUUUAAUUAUUUGUUUAUCAGAUUUCAUUGGGAUCAACUCAUUGCAUAAACUCAUCUCAUUCUGGUUGCUUUAUCUUUUGAAUCAUGGUGCCGUGCUGCUCGGUACUAGGCGUAUCGUAUCAUACCGGAGGAAACUGGUACGAAACUUAACUUCAAGUCGGUACAAGCUCCGUACCCCCCCAUACUGAAGUGUACCACCCAUAUUGAGGUGUAUCAAGGCGUACCAAGAUGCGUGUCGGCCCGUAUCGAGGCAUACCGACUUAUAUCGAGGCGUACCGAGAUAAAAAUAGCCAUAUAGCUAUUUUGGUACAGAGGUGUACCAUACUGAACCGAAUUGAUAAGAUACCGGCACGGUAGCCAGUACCGAGAUUGUGGGCCUUGUUCUGAAUACUUUCUACUGCUCUUCAUUAGUGACUUCCAUAGAUAAUUUUCUAUCAAGCCUUUGUGCUUAUCCUAUUUCUUCUGAUAAAUUGUCAUGGGCUUUUGGCUGACCAUGACAUUAUAUGAUGAUUGUAUAUUGUAAUUGGAGCAGUACUUAACAUUUAUGUGUAGAUAUUAGUUGUUAAUGUCUUGAUGCCAGCAUGUAGCACCAUUAUCCCUGUGGUCUCUAGAUUUGUAGACUACUUACCUACAUUAAUUCUACUCUACAAUUUUCAAAGAAAGCAAACAAUUGUACUAUUUCCAUUCUAUUUGUUUCCUUGUUUGUAAUAUUUAGGUUCAUCUGUUAGAGGGUAUGGUUGGUUAAUCUAAAACCAUUUCACUGGACUUGCAUUGGAUGGGCCUCAGCAGUAAGUAAGACCAUAAAAGCUAAAAUGCAAACAGCUAAUAUUGUUUGCGCAUGGCCCUACUUUUAUGAUAUUAUGGGAGUGAUCCCCCUAAAAUUUGCUGGUGAAACACUGCAAGAAGACAUCUAAUAAUUGUUGGGAAAAUUGAUAUUUGUAUGUUAAUAUGUGUGUGUCACUUGGAAGGUUUUAUUCCGUAGCUUCCGAAACAAGUUGCACAUUUUUUCCCCUUUUGAUUGGUUAAGGUUGGGUUCUCCUGCUUCCAAUUUAAAGAUAGCCAAGAAGAAAGCUAUUACAGAUAUCAGUAAUUGAAAUCGUGAGCGUGAAAAACCAUUCCCCAUUUAUUUUUCUUUUCACAGAUUCCAACAAAGAGGACUGGUUUAGUUAAGUACACAGCUGACCCAUAUUGGUGGAAAAACAUGACAAGGCAUCUUGUUGUAGUUGCAAGCAAAUGGAGGGUCAUCAUCACAUGCUUGAGACUAGGAGCUUAUGUCUUUCUGAGGAGCAGACAAUUAGCAAUGUAAAGAAUUUCUGUCUUGCCAUUUUUUAUCACUUCUUAUUCUCAGAUAUUCAGAAAGCUUAUUUUUCUCUUGUUAUUUUCCAUAUGUAGAUACUUAAGGCCAACAGUUGUGGAAAAUCAAAUUUUGAGCAUGAGAACUCAUCCAUAGAAGUUGACUCAGAUGUGAAGUUACGACAGUUCUUGUUUUAUAUGGUCUUUCCAGGCUAUUAACAGGUUCUAUCCUUGCUCAUGAAUUGAUGUACAAGCGUGUAUGCCUCAAAGGUGCUUUCCCAUAUUUAGCUUGAAUCUGAGGUUAUGCCAGGGUCAAGGAACAUGGCAUCCUUAUCAAUGUUUGCUUCAUCUUCAUCCUCUUCAUUUUCAUCAUCCAAUGAGGCAGGAAAAUCUAAUCAUGAGAAGAAUCUUGGUGAGCUUUUCAUGCAUCAGAUUGCUCAUGACACUUCAUCUGCCUGUGGUGAGGGUUUCAGAGCUGCUAAUGCAGAUGUAAAUAGGUAUGGGCUUUGACAGACCCUGGAUCACAUUUGCUGAACAGGAAACUUUUGGAUGGAAAACCAUUCCUUCUGUUAUAAGGAGAUACAUUUCUUCAAAAAUAUAUAUUAUGUCUUGAUGAUAAAAUUGGUCAUGAAAGUUUGGGUAAGCUUCCUAAUUUUAUUUGAGGUAAAGUAAGCAGUUUUAUUGGAUCAACAUUCAGUAAAAUCAUUUCUUCAUAUUCCAAUUGUAUUAUUUGUGAAAACAGUAGCAAAUCUGUAGGAAUCAUCUGAGCUAUAUGGUAGUUGCAAGCCUUCAUGGUAAGUUGGCACCUGCAGACUAAAAAUUAGUCAUAGUUACAUAAAAGACCAGAUACUUACAUGAGGUACAUAAGAAAGCGUACAGCAACACUCUUAUGCAUCACUAUGUUAAGCCAACAGGCAAUAUGCUGAAACACACUUCAAAGUUACAAUACCAGGUCCUUCACCAGUCAUCUCUUCUAGUAAACUUGAGCUUGCCACCUAUAAUUUCUAGGAAGGUGGUUCAGGGUGCUGCUUGUUCCAUGUCUGCAGAUCUAUUGUAUGAUGGCUUUCUGUGCCAGCUCCCUGGUAACAAGGGCCAGCUGGUUGCACCAUUUUGUCUUUGCUGGAGCUGCUUUCAGGAGAGUCAGCUUGUUGUGUUUGUCUCCUUACACGGGCUUUUAUCAGCUUCUCUGGAGGCAUCAGAUUAUCAUGUCCUUUCAACCCAUCCAACAGCAACCCAUGCCGACUCCAGAAUGUUGAAGGAGAUAUUAGUAAGGAAAGGACUGCAAACAAAAGGAAUGAACUGGAGAGUUUCAUCCUAAACUUUGUAAUUGAGGUUGUGAGGUUUGUUGAGGGUUGUGGGAAUUAACAUGGUCACCAAUUUAUAGUUCAUUUCUUGGUUGAGCUUAGCAUGCAGACCAAAAAGUACACAGUGAAUGAACAGGUUACAAAUGGUAAAAGAUUUACAAAAUGCUAUUUUUUUUCUGCAGCAGUGUAGUCUUUAUUGCUUUUUAAGUAAACUGUGCAUAAGCAACAAGGAAUCUGUGUGUACUUGGUGUUAAGUAACAUGCCUGCUUCUUUACUAAUCUUUGGUGGCAUUAAUUCUUGUCAAUUCACCUUUUGUUGUUGAUUUUUAACAGAAGGUAUUUAAAUGCUUAAUCUUUAAGUUAUUAGGUUACUUGUUACCACAUUCACUACACCAUGCCGGUCAAUUCUUUGUUUCAGCCACAUCAUUUACUGUUGCAUUAUGAGCGUUUUAAUUGAUCUUUGAAUGGUUUUAACCAAUAAUGUCAAUCAUGUUGGUAAUGAAUGAUGAUAAUUUAUAUUGUUGAAGCUAUUGGCUAAUUCAGUUCCUUUAAUUUUCUGUUAAUAAUUAAUAAUUGUUUCCUCAGAGAAAACUUAUACUGGGAGAUUCUUCGUUCAUGCUCUCUAAUCUGUUGCCCACCUGUAAUCAUUCUUGGUUCGUGCUGUCUAAUCUGUUGUCCACCUGCAAUCAGAUCUGACAGCAAGGUGGAUGCUGACAUUGAGGUAAUCUCUCAAAUUCUUUUUGAUGCCUUUACCUAGCAUAAAAUUGUAUCAUAAAUUUCUCUGAUUGCUCAUCUUUUCUUUUUUUUGUUUGGGAGGGGGGCUGUGUUUCAGUAAUGUUGACCUAAUUAUUGUACUUUAAAAAAACUAGCUAAUUAAUUCUUUCUCCCUCACUUUACUGCGUUCA